rnacentral:lncRNA from 1 species
AUGAGUAUGCCAGUUGCUUAGGCCACUCAGAUCCACUGUCGCAGGGGGACUGGAUUCAACGAGGCUGCUUCAAUGUUUCGGCAGCUUUGGCCAAAGGUUAUGCUCGCAGCGAAUAUAGGGUGAGCCUAAAGACAUCAAGUAUUAUACAGGACGGCUUCAGUUGAGGGGGCGCACGGUGGCCACUGGCAAAAGCGAGGUUAUUCUAGUAUGUAUAACAUGACAAGCAGUUCUCACCCUUGAAGAAGCUAAAGGCGCACGCGACUACGACAAUAACUGAAAUAGGGGGAUUUUCAAGAAUAAUAGAGAUUACCGCUUACAGUUACUUGCCGACAAUGAUGUGUAGCCGAUUUUGUAAUGUAUCGUUGAAAACACCCAUGAUUUAGUUCAUAAACUGUAUGAACUGAAUACAGAACGGAUGUCGGUACGACCCCUUGUGGAGAUACGAUGAAUAAGAAAAUAUAGGUGCAUCUCUGCAUUACGAGGCACAACAAAAAACGGGCUGUACUGAGGACUGCUAAAAAAAAAUUGCCGUUUUUUACUUAAUCAUGCUCUGCCGCAAUCACGCUAUCGAUCUCCUGCGAGUCGAGACGCUUGGACAGUAUCGAGCUGCCGUUUUGUAGCUUCGUCGACUAUGACGUCUUAGUACGGUGCUGACUUUUGGAACUGAUCAAUGUGCAGUAGUGAAGAUGUGGAUUGGGUUAAUUGUAGCUUGUUUAUGUCACUUAAAAGGGAGGCAAGGACCUUUAACGGAACGCUAAGCGGUGAGCAUCUGAAGCUUGCAAGAACUGAACAUAGUACUAAAUGAGCAAAUGUAAAAUGUGGCCUGGAACACGUCCGAUUCAGCAUAAGACCAGCAUUUUAGUAGAUUACAAGCAACGCCCCCGUUCAGUGGAUCCGAUAGCAUUUGUAGAAAAUUCAACCCCUGUACAGGAUCGCGAUAAUGUACCACCCCGCCUAUUAACAGGGAUCCUACCCAUUCUAAAUUGAACUUUUUUGUUUACACCUGAAUCUACCAUAUGAUUAUUGCACGUACUUUAUGCACGCCAUAGUUUAUAUGUGCAUACAAUGCAAAUAGUAUUCUACCUUCGCCUACUAAUGCUCAGCACAUCUGUCAAGCGUCGCCUCGUGCAACUUGAAGCGGCCGGGCGGUUCGCUUUAGCAGUCUUUAUUACAGGAGCGGGUGCAAAUUAUGCUGUCCAAGUCGUAAAAUGUCUUAUUACAUCCACUGAGGUUCGUUUGUAAGAUUACCAUGUUUCACCGGACAAAAGCGUAGCUGGCACGGGCAACGCAACGGUGACCCCAGAUAGCCGUCUCACGAAUGAUACAACCGCGUUUGCUUCGAGCCGUAAUUAGGUUGGUACGACAAUCAAGCAGAAGCAAACUGGCAGGAACACCAGACCAUUGAAAUGUAAGGAACAUUUCUUAUGUGAAGCAGCUGGGUAUCAACUAUUCCUCUAUGGCGCGCUUGGCGCAUAGGUUGGCAUUUACGAAGGCUUUAAACAAACUACGUCCACAUCGAACCUUAAGCGGGGCAACGGGUAAAUGGUUUCGUACGCAUAUGCGAUUCACUGUAUCCGCCGAGAGAGUGAUGAGAGUAACGGUAGAAAAUAGUUAUGAUUUUGAAUGCGACAGUAACUUCGCGUACGGGAGAGUCUACAUGCGUGUUGACGACCCUAGUCGUUAAAAAUGUAUCGUCGGAGAUGAUGAUCUUACAUUUUCCUUCCAUGGUUUUUGGUUGACACUUUUAAAA